UCCCUUUAAUUUCAGUAUUUAUAAAUCAAGAGUUUAUGAAAUAACCAGAAUUAUGUUCACUAGGGCUUAUGUUGCAUGACAGAUGCCAAUAUUUACUCAAGACUCUCACGGUGGUUAGGAUCAUAAGAUAUCUUUAUCGAUGAUAUGCUUAAAUGUCUCUCGACCUAUUCAAGUGUCUAAUUUUCUAAUCCUCUCGGACUUAGAGAAUCACUAUGCACUGUCCAGAUUUUACCUCAGG
rnacentral:lncRNA from 1 species